GUGUCAGCAGCCGCGGUAAUACAGAGGGUGCGAGCGUUAAUCGGAAUUACUGGGCGUAAAGGGCGCGUAGGCGGUUAGUUAAGUUAGUUGUGAAAUCCCUGGGCUUAACCUAGGAACUGCAACUAAUACUUGCUAGCUAGAGUGCAGUAGAGGGUAGUGGAAUUUCCGGUGUAGCGGUGAAAUGCGUAGAUAUCGGAAGGAACACCAGUGGCGAAGGCGGCUACCUGGACUGACACUGACGCUGAGGCGCGAGAGCGUGGGGAGCAAACAGGAUUAGAUACCCCAGUAGUCC
rnacentral:rRNA from 1 species